AUGCCCCCUUGGGAGCGCUUCCGCGAGCUCUGCCUCCUUCGCUUUGGGCCUCCGGUUCGCGGGAGCCGCCUGGUGGAGCUCGGCCGCCUUCCCUUCACCUCCACGGUGCAGGACUUCGCCGACCGUUUCCAGGCCCUGGCAUGCCAUGCGUCGGGCGUGACGCCGCAGCAGCGGGCCGACCUCUUUGUCGGUGGACUUCCGGAUCACACCCGCGUGGACGUGGAGCUUCGGGGACCCCAGGAUCUCCAGUCGGCCAUGUACUACGCCCGCGUGUUCGAAUCACCGUCCCGGACCAUUGGGUCGCUACCCGGGCCGGAUUCCGCGCAGGGUCGGCCUGCGCAGGCUUCUGCGGCACCCCUCGCCGCGACCGCGGCGCGCCCGUUCCGCCGGCUCACCUCAGCCGAGCUACUCGAGCGUCGCCGCCAAGGGCUGUGCUUCAACUGCGACGAGCCCUACACGCCCGGCCAUGCCUGCCCGCGACUCUUCUACCUGGAGGUUGCAGACUACAUUCCGGAGGAUGCCGUCGCCGCCGACCUGGCCGCCCCAGCUGUCGAGAAGGUGUUUGACGCUGGUUGA
rnacentral:rRNA from 1 species